rnacentral:rRNA from 1 species
CCCAUACAAUCUUGCUAGCGCAUGCUAAAAAGAUAAAAGCUCCGGCGGUGUAAAAUGAGCGUGCGUCCUAUUAGCUAGUUGGAGAGGUAAUGGCUCACCAAGGCUACGAUGGGUAGGGGUUCUUAGUGGAAGGUCCCCCACACUGGCACUGAGAUACGGGCCAGACUCCUACGGGAGGCAGCAGUAGGGAAUAUUGGUCAAUGGGCGCAAGCCUGAACCAGCCAUGCCGAGUGCAGGAUGAAGGCUCUCUGAGUUGUAAACUGCUUUUGUACAGGAGCAAAAAAGCCCCUGCGGGGGCUCUUGAGAGUACUGUAAGAAUAAGCACCGGCUAAUUCCGUGCCAGCAGCCGCGGUAAUACGGAAGGUGCAAGCGUUAUCCGGUUUUAUUGGGUUUAAAGGGUGCGUAGGCGGCUUAUUAAGUCAGUUGUGAAAUCCUAGUGCUUAACGCUAGAACUGCGAUUGAUACUAUUAGGCUUGAGUUAAGAAGAGGUAGGCAGAAUUUAUGGUGUAGUAGUGAAAUGCUUAGAUAUCAUAAGGAAUACCAAUAGCGUAGGCAGCUUACUGGUCUUUAACUGACGCUGAGGCACGAAAGCGUGGGGAGCAAACAGGAUUAGAUACCCUGGUAGUCCACGCCGUAAACGAUGAUCACUCGAUAUACAUGAAACCUCGUGUGUGUCUAAGCGAAAGCGUUAAGUGAUCCACCUGGGGAGUAUACUCGCAAGGGUGAAACUCAAAGGAAUUGACGGGGGUCCGCACAAGCGGUGGAGUAUGUGGUUUAAUUCGAUAAUACGCGAGAAACCUUACCUGGGCUAGAAUGUAAUGGACACCUUGAG